GACGCUUGUAGCUCAGUGGUAGAGCAUCGGUCUCAAAAACCGAAUGGCACGGGUUCAAAUCCCGUCUAGCGCCA
rnacentral:tRNA from 1 species